rnacentral:rRNA from 1 species
GGUAACAGAGGGAAACUUCUGAUAAUACUGGAUAAGUUAGUAUAUCGCAUGAUAUGCAAAUGAAAGCUACGGCACUAAAGGAGAGCUUUGCGUCCUAUUAGCUAGUUGGUAAGGUAAGAGCUUACCAAGGCGAUGAUAGGUAGCCGGCCUGAGAGGGUGGACGGCCACAAGGGGACUGAGAUACGGCCCUUACUCCUACGGGAGGCAGCAGGG